AGUUCUUGGCUGUGCUGAGGAUCUGUAAGGCACCAGAUGUGAAAGUAAGGAAGAAAGAUGGAUGUGGAAGAAAGUCACUGCCCAGAGAAUAAGGAGACCUGGAUUCUAAUCUCAGCUCUGCCAUUAACUAGCUAUGAAACUAUGGCUCAAAAGGGAAUAAGAGAUCAAGGCAAGCAUGGACAUCUUGUACGUGGAAGUGCAGACCAGAACUUGUAUCACAGCCAGUCAUAUCUGGUGCUUUCCAUGCUACUUUUACAUACAUGUAUCCUUAAAUUUGAUCCUCUUCUAGUUUAGUCUAAACUCUUUA
rnacentral:lncRNA from 10 species